rnacentral:tRNA from 4 species
GCGGGGGUAGCAAAGUCUGGUCAAAUGCGCAGGACUUAAGAUCCUGUCUCUUAGUGAGUCCGUGGGUUCGAAUCCCAUCUCCCGCA